rnacentral:rRNA from 1 species
CCUACGGGAGGCAGCAGUAAGGAAUAUUGGUCAAUGGAGGCAACUCUGAACCAGCCAUGCCGCGUGCAGGAAGACAGCCCUAUGGGUCGUAAACUGCUUUUAUACGGGAAUAAACUUUGAUUCGUGAAUCAAGCUGAAUGUACCGUAAGAAUAAGGAUCGGCUAACUCCGUGCCAGCAGCCGCGGUAAUACGGAGGAUCCAAGCGUUAUCCGGAUUUAUUGGGUUUAAAGGGAGCGUAGGCGGCCUAUUAAGUCAGGGGUGAAAGACGGUGGCUCAACCAUCGCAGUGCCUUUGAUACUGAUGGGCUUGAAUAUAGUUGAGGUAGGCGGAAUGUGACAAGUAGCGGUGAAAUGCAUAGACAUGUCACAGAACACCGAUUGCAAGGCAGCUACUAAGCUAUGAUUGACGCUGAGGCUCGAAAGCGUGGGGAUCAAACAGGAUUAGAUACCCUGGUAGUCCACGCCUAAACGAUGAUAACUCGAUGUUGGCGAUAUACAGUCAGCGUCCAAGCGAAAGCUUAAGCAUCAACCNGAGAGCGCGAGAGAAGUAAUAGAGUAGAGAGNGAGAGNGCGAGAGACAGAGGGAGGAG